AGGGGUGGAAAAAGAAAAUGAAAAAGAUAUUAUUGAAGAAGAUGAUAUAUGGAUUCAAAUACAAGGUUCAUCCUUUCUUCUAUUCUAUUCCAAGAGUUCACCGAGAGGUCUUGGCCGUGUUCUAUACUGCACGGAGGGAUCUUGGACUGGGGAUCAAGGGGUCUCGACUGUGUACAAAUAGUUCACUGAGGAGUCUUGGCCGUAUUCUAGAAUUGAUUAUGAGAGAUCUUGAGACCGACUUUCAUUCGCGGAGGGGGCCAAAGGCCCGUGGCGAAAGUUCUUAGCCCGAUGGACGGAUUAUAGAUUUUAGUCAGAGAAUACAUUUUUGGUGGAUCACAUGUGAUGUGAUUAGAUGAUGGUAUAGAUAUCAGCUGAUGAUUAUAUCGUGGAUAUGAGAUGAUAUUUACAUAGUUAUGAGAA